CCAGACUUCUACGGGAGGCAGCAGUGGGGAAUAUUGCACAAUGGGGGAAACCCUGAUGCAGCGACGCCGCGUGAGUGAAGAAGUAUCUCGGUAUGUAAAGCUCUAUCAGCAGGGAAGAAAAUGACGGUACCUGACUAAGAAGCCCCGGCUAACUACGUGCCAGCAGCCGCGGUAAUACGUAGGGGGCAAGCGUUAUCCGGAUUUACUGGGUGUAAAGGGUGCGUAGGUGGCAGGGCAAGUCAGAUGUGAAAGCCCGGGGCCCAACCCCGGUACUGCAUUUGAAACUGUCCGGCUGGAGUGCAGGAGAGGUAAGCGGAAUUCCUAGUGUAGCGGUGAAAUGCGUAGAUAUUAGGAGGAACACCAGUGGCGAAGGCGGCUUACUGGACUGUAACUGACACUGAGGCACGAAAGCGUGGGGAGCAAACAGGAUUAGAUACCCCCGUA
rnacentral:rRNA from 1 species